rnacentral:rRNA from 1 species
GUGUCAGCAGCCGCGGUAAUACGGAGGAUGCAAGCGUUAUCCGGAUUCAUUGGGUUUAAAGGGUGUGUAGGCGGGACAAUAAGUCAGUGGUGAAAUCUUUCGGCUUAACCGGAAAACUGUCAUUGAUACUGUUGUUCUUGAGUUCAGUUGAGGUGGGCGGAAUGUGUAAUGUAGCGGUGAAAUGCAUAGAGAUUACACAGAACACCGAUUGCGAAGGCAGCUCACUAAACUGUUACUGACGCUGAGGCACGAAAGCGUGGGGAGCGAACAGGAUUAGAUACCCUGGUAGUCCACGCUGUAAACUAUGAAUACUAGAUGUGUGCGACAUAUUGUACGCGUCUAAGCAAAAGCAUUAAGUAUUCCACCUGGGGAGUACGGCCGCAAGGUUGAAACUCAAAUGAAUUGACGGGG